rnacentral:tRNA from 1 species
GCCAGCAGGGCAUAGUGGUUUGAGUGUUGGAGUAUGAUUCUGAAGACCAGGGUUCGAUUCCCUGCUCAGCCA